GGCGAGUGGCGAACGGGUGAGUAAUGCAUCGGAACGUGCCCAAUCGUGGGGGAUAACGCAGCGAAAGCUGUGCUAAUACCGCAUACGAUCUACGGAUGAAAGCGGGGGACCUUCGGGCCUCGCGCGAUUAGAGCGGCCGAUAUCAGAUUAGGUUGUUGGUGAGGUAAAAGCUCACCAAGCCGACGAUCCAUAGCUGGUUUGAGAGGAUGAUCAGCCACACUGGAACUGAGACACGGUCCAGACUCC
rnacentral:rRNA from 1 species